GGAAAAAACAGAUACUGCUCAUAGAUGAAUAAUAUGAGAAUAUUUAGUGAGUACACUAAAGAAAAUUCCAAUUCCAUUCAGUUGUGGAAACUAAAGAGUUGCUAUACACAUGCUUUUCAGGAGAUGUUUGUCUGAUUUUUAAGGAAAAUAUUUUCCUUCAUUAUGUUAGCUGUAUCUCUAUAUGAUCACAUUUAUCUGCUCCAAUAGUGUAAGACUGGCUUUCUGUGAUUUUCUGUUCUUGCAGCUUACACAAAGGACUUUUGAGCUCUGCAAGAACUGUAUGGACUUACAACUCAGCAUGUGUAGUCCCAGCUAACAGAAGAAGAAAUAUAUUUACAGCAUAUAUCUGCUAUUUUGAUACACUAAUGUACAAUCUGUGUUGCCUUCAUGCUGAGUGCAUGUUGGUCAUAUGGAAGGGAGAUGGGCUCCUGAGGCCCCACUCCUUCUGGAAGAGCUAUUGGCUUUUUAUGUCUGCAGAGAGAGAGAGUGUGUCACUCUGUUGUGGGAAUGGGGCCUCUGGUAGGUGGCUUAUGAUCCAGUGGAUGGCCUACACACACAGGUGUGCAUUUGGGCAGCAUUAAUUUGACUCAAAAGCAAAAACUAAAACAAAAAAGAAGACAUGAAAAUGGAAUUGGUAGGGAGAUGAGGUGGGGGUACUAUCAGGAGUUGGAAGGAGGAAUUGGUGUGCGGAUAUUCUUGAUACACAUUGUAUAAAUAUAUGAAACAUUCAAAGAAUAUUAAAAAAUCAUGUGCUAGGCCUGAAAAUGCAAUUCAGAAGUUAAAUGUUGUCUAAUAUGUGCAAGACAGUGAGUUCAAUCCAUUGCACAAAAAUGCUAAUUUAAUACUAUGUACUAAGUGACAUGUUCAGUACCGAUGGUAAAUGAAAUAUUAAAUAUUAAAGGUUUCAAAAAGAAUUUUACAGAUCUUUAUUUUUCAUCUAAUAGUUAUUAUUUAUUUAAUAUAAGCCACCAGGUUGCUCAGUAAUUCAAGUGAAACCCAGACAAAGAUAUGACAACAGAACUCGUGGAUCAAAACACCAAAAGAACCCAUGUACUUGUGUGAAAAGAAACUAAAUCUAUUUAAAACUUUAAAACAAGGUAAAUCAAUAAUAGUGAUAAAAAUUUUCAUCUAGAAAAGAAGAAAUAACCUUCUUCACACACAUUUAGUAAUACUUAAAUUGAAUAUUCUAUU
rnacentral:lncRNA from 1 species